GUGGCCAUAGUGUAGCGGUAACACAACAGCUUGUGGAGCUGUUAUCACGGGUUCGAACCCCGUUGGCCACCCCA
rnacentral:tRNA from 1 species